CCUACGGGGGGCAGCAGUGGGGGAUAUUGCACAAUGGGGGGAACCCUGAUGCAGCGACGCCGCGUGGGUGAAGAAGCGCCUCGGCGCGUAAAGCCCUGUCAGCAGGGAAGAAAAUUACGGUACCUGAAGAAGAAGCCCCGGCUAACUACGUGCCAGCCGCCGCGGUGCUACGUAGGGGGCAAGCGUUAUCCGGAUUUACUGGGUGUAAAGGGGGCGCAGACGGCGAUGCAAGCCAGGGGUGAAAGCCCGGGGCCCAACCCCGGGACUGCUCUUGGAACUGCCGGGCUGGAGUGCAGGAGGGGCAGGCGGAAUUCCUGGUGUAGCGGUGAAAUGCGUAGAUAUCAGGAGGAACACCGGUGGCGAGGGCGGCCUGCUGGACUGCCACUGACAUUGAUGCUCGAAAGUGUGGGUAUCAAACAGGAUUAGAUACCCUUGUAGUC
rnacentral:rRNA from 1 species